AUUGAACGCUGGCGGCGGGCUUAACACAUGCAAGUCGAGCGGAGAUGAGGUGCUUGCACCUUAUCUUAGCGGCGGACGGGUGAGUAAUGCUUAGGAAUCUGCCUAUUAGUGGGGGACAACAUUCCGAAAGGAAUGCUAAUACCGCAUACGUCCUACGGGAGAAAGCAGGGGAUCUUCGGACCUUGCGCUAAUAGAUGAGCCUAAGUCGGAUUAGCUAGUUGGUGGGGUAAAGGCCUACCAAGGCGACGAUCUGUAGCGGGUCCGAGAGGAUGAUCCGCCACACUGGGACUGAGACACGGCCCAGACUCCUACGGGAGGCAGCAGUGGGGAAUAUUGGACAAUGGGGGAAACCCUGAUCCAGCCAUGCCGCGUGUGUGAAGAAGGCCUUAUGGUUGUAAAGCACUUUAAGCGAGGAGGAGGCUACUGAGACUAAUACUCUUGGAUAGUGGACGUUACUCGCAGAAUAAGCACCGGUUAACUCUGUGCCAGCCGCCGCCGUAA
rnacentral:rRNA from 1 species